CCUACGGGUGGCAGCAGUGAGGAAUAUUGGUCAAUGGGCGGGAGCCUGAACCAGCCAAGUCGCGUGAGGGAAGACGGUCCUAUGGAUUGUAAACCUCUUUAGGCGGGGAGCAAUGCCGGGCACGCGUGCCCGGAGGGAGAGUACCCGCAGAAUAAGCAUCGGCUAACCCCGGUGCAGCAGCCGCGGUAAUACGGAGGAUGCGAGCGUUAUCCGGAAUUAUUGGGUUUAAAGGGUGCGUAGGCGGAUUUUUAAGUCAGCGGUAAAAAGGCCGGGCUAAACCCGGGAGUGCCGUUGAAACUGGGGAUCUUGAGUGGGCGAGAGGUAUGCGGAAUGCGUGGUGUAGCGGUGAAAUGCAUAGAUAGCACGAAGAACUCCGAUUGCGAAGGCAGCAGACCGGCGCCCGACUGACGCUGAGGCACGAAAGCGUGGGGAUCGAACAGGAUUAGAUACCCGAGUAGUC
rnacentral:rRNA from 1 species